UCCUGGCCAGGCUGGGGCUGUUCUCACCAGAAAACAAAAAUGUCUUUCAGACCAAAGCAAAACGAGGCCCCAGCUGGCCCAGGCAGGCCAUCGGGCGUUGUUCACACUGACCCACUAUGAACACCAAUCACUGGGGCUCUCACUUUGCACCCACUGGAAGGAACCCACCAUCUUUGGAGAGGGAACUGGAGGCCUCAGUGGCUGCUGAGGAAAGCACUACGCCCCAAGAUUCACAUGAAUUAGGAGCUACACAAAGGAAGUAGGCCCAGGAAUAACCACACCUGCCACAGAUCUCCCAAGGCAGCCGAGCAAAUGAUGAGGAACCACCCCUGGGCAUCCUGAAGGACAACCCCAAAGGCUCAAAGCAGCAUCUCAUCCACAGCACUCCCCUAACCCCACCAAUCUGUGGACCCAGUGGAUGGUUAGUGGGAACUCUGGCAAGGCCAACGCAAGGAAUGGGAGCAUCACACCAGACCAUCCAGUGAGGUGAGGACCUUCACUGGGAAUUCCUCUCAUCUAUGCUUGGCAGAGUGGCCCAAGCUCCCAAUCUGUCAGGAGACUGGAACCUUGGAGCUCUAAGGAAGCAGCAGCCCUCAGAGAAGACUCUCUUCCACAAAACCGGUCACCCAGAAGCUGUGGGUUCACUAGUUCAUUCAUUCAUUCAGCAAACACUUCUGGAGCACCUCCUUCUAUUCCAGGCUGCACUGGUUCUCAGCACUCAGGGUUCUCCAGUGAAGGGUAACCUGGCCCUGCCUGCAAGGAGUUUACACCUGCUUUUCCCUACUGCUUCUAACAUAUUGGCAUCAUCCCCCACCUGGGCACAGAGCCUGGCAUCCUAGCAGGAGCACACUCAAAAUCUGUUGUUUACUGAUUGACUUGUGGUAAGGAAACAGCUUAUAAAACACAUUAUUAAAAUAAA
rnacentral:antisense_RNA from 1 species